AUUGAACGCUGGCGGCAGGCCUAACACAUGCAAGUCGAGCGAGCGGCGGACGGGUGAGUAAUGUAUGGGGACUGCCCGAUAGAGGGGGAUAACUACUGGAAACGGUGGCUAAUACCGCAUACUAUCGGAUAACCCAUAUGGGAUUAGCUAGUAGGUGGGGUAGAGGCCCACGUAGGCGACGAUCUCUAGCUGGUCUGGGAGGAUCAUCAGCCAGGCUGAGACUGAGAGACGGCCCAGACGCCGACGGAGGCAGCGGUGGGGAAUAUGGCAGAAGGGGCGCAAGCCUGAGGCAGCCAUGCCGCGUGUAUGAAGAAGGCCUUAGGGUUGUAAAGUACUUUCAGCGGGGAGGCGUUGCCCGAAGAAGCACCGGCUAACUCCGUGCCAGCAGCCGCGGUAAUUC
rnacentral:rRNA from 1 species